GACGAACCGUGCGAACGUUGUUCGGAAUCACUGGGCUUAAAGGGCGCGUAGGCGGAGGGUCCAGUCGGUGGUGAAAUCCUCCAGCUCAACCGGAGAAGCGCCGCCGAUACUGACUCUCUCGAGGGAGGUAGGGGCAUGUGGAACUCAGGGUGGAGCGGUGAAAUGCGUAGAUAUCCUGAGGAACGCCGGUGGCGAAGGCGGCUUACUGGACUGAAACUGACGCUGAGUCACGAAAGCGUGGGGAGCAAACAGG
rnacentral:rRNA from 1 species